rnacentral:rRNA from 1 species
AGAGUUUGAUCCUGGCUCAGAACGAACGCUGGCGGCAGGCCUAACACAUGCAAGUCGAGCGAGACCUUCGGGUCUAGCGGCGGACGGGUUAGUAACGCGUGGGAACGUACCCUUUUCUACGGAAUAGCCUUUGGAAACGAAGAGUAAUACCGUAUACGCCCUUCGGGGGAAAGAUUUAUCGGAGAAGGAUCGGCCCGCGUUAGAUUAGAUAGUUGGUGGGGUAAUGGCCUACCAAGUCUACGAUCUAUAGCUGGUUUUAGAGGAUGAUCAGCAACACUGGGACUGAGACACGGCCCAGACUCCUACGGGAGGCAGCAGUGGGGAAUCUUAGACAAUGGGCGCAAGCCUGAUCUAGCCAUGCCGCGUGAGUGAAGAAGGCCUUAGGGUCGUAAAGCUCUUUCGCCAGGGAUGAUAAUGACAGUACCUGGUAAAGAAACCCCGGCUAACUCCGUGCCAGCAGCCGCGGUAAUACGGAGGGGGUUAGCGUUGUUCGGAAUUACUGGGCGUAAAGCGCACGUAGGCGGAUUAGAAAGUUAGAGGUGAAAUCCCAGGGCUCAACCCUGGAACUGCCUUUAAAACUCCUAGUCUUGAGUUCGAGAGAGGUGAGUGGAAUUCCAAGUGUAGAGGUGAAAUUCGUAGAUAUUUGGAGGAACACCAGUGGCGAAGGCGGCUCACUGGCUCGAUACUGACGCUGAGGUGCGAAAGUGUGGGGAGCAAACAGGAUUAGAUACCCUGGUAGUCCACACCGUAAACGAUGAAUGCCAGUCGUCGGGUAGUAUACUAUU